rnacentral:sRNA from 1 species
UAGGUCUCAAACGCACCAAAGGGUGGGU